rnacentral:lncRNA from 1 species
AUCCUGUCUCUCUCUCCUCCAUCCUCCUGUCUCGCUCUCUCCUCCAUCUCUCCCCAUCUAUCCUGUCUCUCCUCCUCCAUCUCUCCUCCAUCUCUCCUGUCUCUCUCUCCGCCAUCUCUCCUCUAUCUAUCCUGUCUCUCUCCUCCAUCUAUCCGUCUCUCUCUCCUCCAUCGCUCUCCUCCAUCCAUCCUGUCUCUCUCUCCUCCAUCUCUCCCCCAUCUAUCCUGUCUCUCUCUCCUCCAUCUCUCCUCCAUCUCCUGUCUCCUCUCCUCCAUCUCUCCUCCAUCUAUCCUGUCUCUCUCUCCAUCUAUCCCCCCGUCUCUCUCUACUCCAUCUCUCCUCUAUCUAUCCCUGUCUCUCUCUUCUCUCCAUGCUAAUAUCCUGUCCAUCUCUCCUGGCCCCUCUCCAUCUAUCCUGUCUCUCCUCUCUCUCCUCCAUGCUAUCCUCUCUCUCUCCGCCUCUCUCCUCUAUCUAUCCUGUCUCUCUCCUGACUCCUCUCUAUCCUGUCCUCUCUCCUCUCUCCCUCCUCGCUCUCUUCCAUCUCCUGUCCUCCUCUCUCCUCUCCUCCUCUAUCCUGUCUCUCUCCUCCUCCAACCACCUGUCUCCUCCCUUCCAUCUCUCCUCUAUCUCCUGUCUCGCUCUCCUGCUCUCCUCUAUCUAUUCCUGUCUCUCUCCUGCUUGCCUCCAUCUCUCCUGUUCUCUCUCCUCCAUCUAUCCUGUCUCUCUCUCCCCAUCCUUCUCCCCAUCUAUCCUGUCCUCUCUCCUCCAUCUAUCCUGUCUUCUCUCUCCAUCUCUCCCCAUCUCUCCUGUCUCUCUCUCCUCCAUCUCUCCCAUCCCUCAUAUUCCUUCUCUCUCUCCUCCUCAUCUCUCCAUCUCCUGUCUCUCUCUCCUCCAUCUCGCCUCCAUCUCUCCUCUCUGUCCUCUCUCCUCCAUCUCCCCCUAUCUAUCCUGCUCUCUCCUCCAUCUCUAUUAUCCUGUCUCUCUCUCUUCUCCAUCUCUCCUCCAUCUAUCCCGUCUCGCUCUCCCCAUCUCUCCUCUAUCAUCCUGUCUCCUCCUCCUCUAUCCCGUCUCUCUACCUCUAUCCUCCUCUACUAUCCUGUCCUCCUCCUCCAUCUAUAUCCUGCUUGCUCUCUCUCUGCCCUCCUCCAUCAUCUCUCUCCAUCUAUCCUGUCUCUCUCUCUCCUCUAUCUAUCCGGUCUCUCUCCUGCUCUCCUCUAUCUAUUCCCUGUCUCUCUCCUGCUCUCUUCUAUCAUCCGGGUCUCUCUCCUGCUCGCCUCCAUCUAUCCUGCCUCUCUCCUGCCCCUCCAUCUAUCAUGUCUCUCUCUCCUCAUCUCUCCUGUCUCUCUCUCUCCUCCAUCUAUCCUCUAUCUAUCCUGUCUCUCUCCUGCCUCCUCAAUCUAUCCUGUCUCUCUCCUGCUCGCCUCCAUCUACCUGUCCUCCUCCUCCAUCUCUCUACUCCUCUCUCUUCCAUCUAUCCUGUCUCUCUCUCCUCCAUCUCUCUACUCCAUCUCUUCCAUCACCUGUCUCUCUCUCCUCAUCUCUCUACUCCAUCUCUCUCUCUAUCUAUCCUGUCUCUCUCCUGCUCUUCUCUAUCUAUCCUGUCUGCUCUCCUCUAUCUCUCCUGUCUCUCUCUCUAUCCAUCUUCUUUUCUCGCUGCUCUCCUGCUCGCCC